rnacentral:rRNA from 1 species
UGGGGAAUUGUUCACAAUGGGCGCAAGCCUGAUGACGCAACGCCGCGUGGGGGAUGAAGGUCUUCGGAUCGUAAACCCCUGUCGAAUGGGACGAAAGACUCGCGAGUGAAUACUUCGCGAGAGUGACGGUACCGUUAAAGGAAGCCACGGCUAACUCUGUGCCAGCAGCCGCGGUAAUACAGAGGUGGCAAGCGUUGUUCGGAAUUACUGGGCGUAAAGGGCGCGUAGGCGGCCCUCUAAGUCAGACGUGAAAUCCCCCGGCUUAACCUGGGAACUGCGUCUGAUACUGGAGGGCUUGAGUAUGGGAGAGGGAUGUAGAAUUCCAGGUGUAGCGGUGAAAUGCGUAGAUAUCUGGAAGAACACCAGUGGCGAAGGCGGCUCACUGGAUCGGUACUGACGCUGAGGUGCGAAAGCGUGGGGAGCAAACAGGAUUAGAUACCCAAGUAGUCCCUGAGCGGGCUGGCAAGGCGCAU